rnacentral:rRNA from 1 species
UACGGAGGGUGCAAGCGUUAUCCGGAUUUACUGGGUUUAAAGGGUGCGCAGGCGGAUUUGUAAGUCAGAGGUGAAAUCUCCGAGCUUAACUCGGAAACUGCCUUUGAUACUAUAAGUCUUGAAUGACGUUGAGGUUAGCGGAAUAUGUCAUGUAGCGGUGAAAUGCUUAGAUAUCACAUAGAACAUCUAUUGCGAAGGCAGCUCACUAAGCGUAUAUUGACGCUGAUGCACGAAAGCGUGGGGAUCAAACAGG